AUAUAUGCACUUAUCUUGUUGUGGACAUUCAGACCUCCGUGCAUUGAGUUAACAUGAAAGGAUAUAGCAAAAUAACCUUUUAUUGGUACCAACAUAACUUUAUUAUGAAAGGGCACCAUGUCUACUAACCCAAAUUUCAUGUCUUUGUCCAGUCUUUGCUCACCUUCAGUUAUGCCGGAAUAAAAAAUGUCAAGCAAUGAAAGAAAAAGUCCAGAGCAUCCAGUUUUUCAUCCACUUUUCACUUUUUCUCUCAGCUAGCAAAACAUCAAAUAUGUCGAGGAUUUGUUUACGCCAUUUCUGUAUUUUUGUAUGCUCUUGGUCUUCAACAGUGGACU
rnacentral:lncRNA from 1 species